CGGCGAGCCCGUGAACGGGUGGCAGCUAUGAGGGUUAGUGACAGAUCUGCCAAAGAGCACCAUGCGGGCCACCGACGACCGCGGAGCCAGUGAAUUUCCUGUCGCGAGCCCCGUGCGGUCACCGGGUUGCCGCUGAGAGCUCUGGGAAAUGUAGUUAGGCGCGAGCAGCAGCCGUUAGCUGCGGGUCUGCGGCCGGCACCGCGGCUCCGCAGCUGCCUGCGGCUCGGACCGUCCUCCCACGUCCACAGUUCAGGAAGCUUCUGGAACACACGACCUCUCUGCAAUGGAAGCAAGAUCUGCAUCCCCAGCUUCAGACGUGUUCAUGGAGCCCUGACCAAAGAGUUCACCUCAAACUGGGAACCUUCUGAAAGCUACCCGCGAGGGACCUCAAGUAGAACCUCUGGAGAAGCCGCGCAGCACCCAUGCCAAACAAUACCACAGCGCGUUCAGGGACCCUCCACUGGCUUCAGGAUCUCGUGGAGGAAAAACUAAGCCAUUUCAUUCCCGGGAAAGGGGCUUCAGACAGGACGGAAGAGGGAAGAGCCAUCCAGAUCUAACAUUUGAAGGUGAGCCACAUCUGUCCUUUGCGUUCUCCAUGGAGCCUUCAAGGAUGGUGCUGGGGCUUGGUAGCUGUGUCGCUAUGGACACUGUGGCAUAAGGAGAGGGCUCUGGCCAUUGGCCUUGGAAGAUGAAGCUCGCCUUUUCCAGAUGGUUUCCUUUCUUUCCCUUCAAGGUCACAUGGGGAGGAAGGGAAUUUCUUAUUGCUUCCUCUUCCACCCUACCACCCCACUCACCAGGCCCUGAAGAUCCCCCAGGAAGUGACAGGAGCCCCGUUGCCUCCCCUCCAUCAAGGAGACUUCACUGCUUAGUUGGCCUUGUGCUCAGACAAAGGAAUGACCUUGGGAAAGGACACUUGAUGCGCAAACAAGAACGGGCGCUGGUGUGUCUGUUUACCAUGGCCAGCUUGUGGGGGAAGCUGGCUCGGCUUCUAUGACACCAAGGCAGACUGUUUAUGGCAGUAAGACACAGAGAAUUAAGUGAAGGGAGGCACUGAGCUGCCCGGCCUCCAUCCCCGUGUGAAGGCCACUCCCUUCCUUUCAGUAUACAGCUGAGAUCAGGGUCUAUCCUUGUUGGUUGUAAAAAAUCUCUUGUGUCAUGGAUGAAAAGGGGGGGGUGUGUGUGGCAAAUGUCUCUAAACCCAAGUUCUUGUAUGGCCACUGCUCCCUUCUAACCUUUUAAAGCGAGUACCUUAGGGGAUGGGGAUGUAGUUCAAUUGGUAGGGUGCACGCUUAGUGGGCCCAAAGCCCUGGGCUCCUUUUCUCGUGUUCCAUAGCCAGCUGUGGUGGUGCAUGUUUGUAAUCCCAGCACUUGGGGACAUGUGGACAGGCCACACACAGACCCGUUUGUCUCCAGUAUUCCAUGCUCCUGUCCUGGAAGCACACAGCUAAAAUGUAAUUUGUACUAAGUCUCUAGAACAUUCUCUCUAGUAGCAUCUAUAAUGACUGUCCCAAGGCCACUUCAAUAAGAAAUGGCACAAGUGGGUAGAGGAGGAGACAGAAGUAGAGGAAAUUUAAGCUCGGCUCUUGAAGGAACGAAGGCCUGAAGUGAGAGUGUACCCUAACCCGGGCACCCCAGGGAGCUCUGAAGUCUGCCCUAAACGGGGCUUCUAGGAACCUGCUCAAGACAGAUGCCCACAGAUGCUCCCUGGCUGGUCUUGGCAGUACACACACAUCAGGUGUCUCAGCAACAAGGCAUUCUCAAGAGUUCCAAGUCAUGCUUGGCCUCAGAGUGUGCUUGAGGCCUGCCUGGGUGACAUA